rnacentral:rRNA from 1 species
AUUGAACGCUGGCGGCAGGCCUAACACAUGCAAGUCGAACGAGUGGCGGACGGGUGAGUAAUGUCUGGGAAACUGCCUGAUGGAGGGGGAUAACUACUGGAAACGGUAGCUAAUACCGCAUACCAUCGGAUGUGCCCAGAUGGGAUUAGCUAGUAGGUGGGGUAAAGUCUCACCUAGGCGACGAUCCCUAGCUGGUCUGAGAGGAUGACCAGCCACACGGGAACGGAGAAACGGUCCAGACUCCGACGGGAGGCAGCAGGGGGGAAUAUUGCACAAUGGGCGCAAGCCUGAUACAGCCAUGCCGCGUGUGUGAAGAAGGCCUUCGGGUUGUAAAGCACUUUCAGCGAGGAGGCGUUACUCGCAGAAGAAGCACCGGCUAACUCCGUGCCAGCAGCCGCGGUAAUAC